UUUUGAUUUCUGAAUAAAUUUAUUUUAGAAGAUUAAUUACUUUGCUGGAAAACAGAAAAAUAUUGUUUUAAUAAAUUUUACCUUUUGUAUAAUGGUUAUACUAAAAUUAUAUAAAAUUAUAUUUCCCGAAUUAAGAAGAUCUAUCUAUCAGCUUGUAUUAGCAAUUUUUUUAUUAUGUGGCAAUAUAAUUUGAAGACUGAUAGAUUGGAGUGAAAAACUUUCAAUUCUUAGGAUAUCUGGUAGUUCGAGAAAAGCAUUUAGUGCUGUUAAGUUAAACAAUAAGCGAUGAGGUUUUUUGUAAAUAAAAUUUUAGAUGUUUUAAUAUUUCUUAAAAUUAAUCUUAAAGGAAGUUAUUUUUAAAAAAUAUAGAUUUCUUAAUUAAUUUAUGUUUUAAGGAACUUUUCUAGAAAACUAUUUUUAGAAUUUAUAAUGUAUAGAUGAGUAAUAAAAUAUUUUUAUUUUUAUUAGUUUGUUGAAAAUAUAUAAGAAAAAAUUAUAUUUUUAAAUAAUUGAAAGGAACUCGGCAAAUAUGAAUUUCGACUGUUUAACAAAAACAUAGCUUUAGGAAAAUAUCUAAGGUUAAACCUGCCCAAUGUUUACUAUGAAUGGCCGCGGUACUUUGACCGUGCUAAGGUAGCGCAAUCAAUUGGCUCUUAAUUGGGGUCAGGUAUGAAUGGAAUAACGGAGUUCGUCUGUCUCUAAAUUAAUAGUUUGAAAUUACUAUGUAGGUGAGAAAGCCUAUAGUAGGAAAAAGGACGAGAAGACCCUUAGAGUUUUACUUAAUUAGAAUAUAGAAUAAGUAUUCAGGAUGGUUUAGUUGGGGCAACAUAGGAGCAUUAAGUUAAUCUCCAAAAUAUAAUUAACCGAUUGUUUUAAAUUUGAACAAACUACCUUAGGGAUAACAGCAUAAUUUAGAAAAUAAGUUUGUGACCUCGAUGUUGGACUAGGAAAUCUAAAGGCUAGCCGUUUUUAGAGAGAGUUCUGUUCGAACUAUUAUUCCUACAUGAUCUGAGUUCAGACCGGCGCGAGCCAGGUCAGAUUCUAUCUUUUUAUAACAAGAAUUUAGUACGAAAGGACCAUUUUUUGAUAUUUUGGAUAUAAAA
rnacentral:rRNA from 1 species